AACGAACGCUGGCGGCGUGCCUAACACAUGCAAGUCGCGCGCGAAAGUCUUCGGAUGAGUAGAGCGGCGCACGGGUGAGUAACACGUGGGUAAUCUGCCCUGAGGUCUGGAAUAACCCGGCGAAAGCCGGGCUAAUACCGGAUGAGACCACGACAAGAGAUUGUUGUGGGAAAAGCGGAGGAGUUCUUCGGAACCUUCGUGCCACAGGAUGAGCCCGCGUCCCAUCAGCUAGUUGGCGGGGUAAUGGCCCACCAAGGCUAAGACGGGUAGCUGGUCUGAGAGGAUGAUCAGCCACACUGGGACUGAGACACGGUCCAGACUCGUACGGGAGGCAGCAGUGGGGAAUCUUGCGCAAUGGGGGCAACCCUGACGCAGCAAUGCCGCGUGAGUGAUGAAGGCUUUCGGGUCGUAAAGCUCUGUCAGAAGGGAAGAAAUGUGGGUGGCUAAUAUCCAUACCACUUGACGGUACCUUCAAAGGAAGCACCGGCUAACUCCGUGCCAGCAGCCGCGGUAACAC
rnacentral:rRNA from 1 species